GAUAUCGAUAGGUGAUACCCCAUAGAAGCGGUGAGGAGGAUAGAAGUUUGAACAGAGUGGCAAGGCCAAAAUUUAAGGGGAAAAGGUUAGCGAAGAGUGGCGUCCUGGAGAGUGAGAGUUCCGCGCGCUCUCCGGAGCCGUUAUGAGAGAAGAUUUCCGAUCUCAUCCCAUAACGGAGUCCCGAAGCCAACUCACCCAUACCCCAGCGGCCCGGGAGCAUUAAACAGAGCAGCUAAGCCAAGAGGGGGUUCAGAGAAAGAAAUUCCCGCAACGGAGGAGCAUGCGCGCCGGGCAUAGUGAUCUAGUGAUUUUUUUUCUUCUGAAAGAAAAAGGGAUCCAGAUCAGUGAGAGACCAGGAACCAGGACUAGCGGGACGGGAAAGAGACCCAAGAAGCAUAAGAGGAAUAGGUCACAGCUCCGCCAUCCUGGCUUGCUUUUUGCUGGGCUCGAAUACACAAUCCUGGCCACGUAGAGCGGGUCCCUCGCCCAUUUAGGGACAGAAAAAAAAUCAUCAAUCAACUUAUUUACUCCCAUUAUUUAUUUUUGU